rnacentral:rRNA from 1 species
UACGUAGGGUGCAAGCGUUGUCCGGAAUUAUUGGGCGUAAAGAGCUCGUAGGCGGUUUGUCGCGUCGACUGUGAAAACCCGAGGCUUAACCUCGGGCCUGCAGUCGAUACGGGCAGACUAGAGUUCGGUAGGGGAGACUGGAAUUCCUGGUGUAGCGGUGAAAUGCGCAGAUAUCAGGAGGAACACCGGUGGCGAAGGCGGGUCUCUGGGCCGAUACUGACGCUAAGGAGCGAAAGCGUGGGGAGCGAACAGG